UAAGCCGUUGAAGGUGUGUCGUGAGGCAUGCUGGAGGUAUCAGAAGUGCGAAUGCUGACAUAAGUAACGAUAAAGCGGGUGAAAAGCCCGCUCGCCGGAAGACCAAGGGUUCCUGUCCAACGUUAAUCGGGGCAGGGUGAGUCGACCCCUAAGGCGAGGCCGAAAGGCGUAGUCGAUGGGAAACGGGUUAAUAUUCCCGUACUUGGUGUUACUGCGAAGGGGGGACGGAGAAGGCUAUGUUGGCCGGGCGACGGUUGUCCCGGUUUAAGCGUGUAGGUGUGUGUUCCAGGUAAAUCCGGUU
rnacentral:rRNA from 3 species